rnacentral:rRNA from 1 species
UACGUAGGGGGCUAGCGUUGUCCGGAAUCAUUGGGCGUAAAGAGCGUGUAGGCGGCCCGGUAAGUCCGCUGUAAAAGUCAAAGGCUCAACCUUUGAAUGUCAGUGGAUACUGCCGGGCUAGGGUCCGGAAGAGGCGAGUGGAACUCCUGGUGUAGCGGUGGAAUGCGCAGAUAUCAGGAAGAACACCAACGGCGAAGGCAGCUCGCUAGGACGGUACUGACGCUGAGACGCGAAAGCGUGGGGAGCAAACAGG